CUAUUCUUAUUUUUAAUUCUUUACGUUUUUCAGAGAUAAUUUGUUUUAAUUCUUUAUAUUGUUGUAUUUUAUUCAUUUUAAAUUAUAUUUAUAAUAUCUCGGUGGAUAUCUAAAUCUAAUUUUAUCAUAAUUAAGUGGUAUAUGUUUCAUUCUUCUAGAUUUUAAAUGUGUUAUUAAUUUUGAUUCAAUACUAGAUAUUAAUGUAAUUAAGUAGGCUAGUUUUUGUGGAUUUUCUUUUGUUUUAUUUAGACUUAUAUAUUCUGAAUAAUUACUAAUUAAAGAUUCUUUAAUUUUUCUAAAAGCUUCUCUAUUUUUAAAUGGUCUUCGCAUAAUUAAUUGAAUAUUUU
rnacentral:lncRNA from 1 species